UUCUGGGAUAGCUCAGUCAGCAGAGCAUGAAACUCUUAACCUCAGGGUUGUGGGUUUGAGUCCCACAUGGGGGGGGGGAAU